GGCCGCAGUAUUUUAACUGUGCAAAGGUAGCAUAAUCAUUAGUUUUUUAAUUGAAAGCUGGUAUGAAUGGUUGGACGAAAUAUUAACUGUUUCAUAAAAAUUUUUUAUAGAAUUUUAUUUUUUAGUUAAAAAGCUAAAAUUUAUUUAAAAGACGAGAAGACCCUAUAAAUCUUUAUACUUAAAUUAUUUUAUUAUUUUUAGAUUUAUUUUUUUAUAAUAAUUAAUAGUAUUUUAUUGGGGUGAUAUUAAAAUUUAAUAAACUUUUAUUUAUUUUAACAUUAAUUUAUGAAUAUUUGAUCCGUUAUUAACGAUUAAAAAAUUAAGUUACUUUAGGGAUAACAGCGUAAUUUUUUUAGAGAGUUCUUAUCGAUAAAAAAGAUUGCGACCUCGAUGUUGGAUU
rnacentral:rRNA from 1 species